UACGAAGGGGGCUAGCGUUGUUCGGAAUUACUGGGCGUAAAGGGCGCGUAGGCGGUGUGUCAAGUCAGGCGUGAAAGCCCCGGGCUCAACCUGGGAACCGCGCUUGAGACUGGCACGCUAGAGUUCGGGAGAGGAGCGUGGAAUUCCCAGUGUAGGAGGUAGAAAUUCGUAGGAUAUUGGGGAAGGAAACACCGGUGGCGAAGGCGGCGCUCUGGACCGAGAC
rnacentral:rRNA from 1 species